rnacentral:rRNA from 1 species
CAGUCGCCGCGGUAAUACGUAGGGGGCAAGCGUUAUCCGGAUUUACUGGGUGUAAAGGGAGCGCAGACGGCAGUGCAAGUCUGAAGUGAAAGGCGUGGGCUCAACCCAUGAACUGCUUUGGAAACUGUAUAGCUUGAGUGUCGGAGGGGUAAGCGGAAUUCCUAGUGUAGCGGUGAAAUGCGUAGAUAUUAGGAGGAACACCGGAGGCGAAGGCGGCUUACUGGACGACAACUGACGUUGAGGCUCGAAGGCGUGGGGAGCAAACAGGAUUAGAUACCCGCGUAGUCCCUGUCUCUUAUAC